UACGGAGGGUGCAAGCGUUAUCCGGAUUCACUGGGUUUAAAGGGCGCGUAGGCGGGAUGGCAAGUCAGUCGUGAAAUCUCUCGGCUCAACCGAGAAACGUCGGCUGAUACUGCCGUUCUUGAGGGAUGCAGAGGAGACUGGAAUUCCCGGUGUAGCGGUGAAAUGUGUAGAGAUCGGGAGGAACACCGGUGGCGAAGGCGGGUCUCUGGGCAUUUCCUGACGCUGAGGCGCGAAAGCGUGGGAGCAACGGG
rnacentral:rRNA from 1 species